rnacentral:rRNA from 1 species
GACAGAGGUGCCGAGCGUUAGGCGGAAUCAGCUGGGCUUAAAGCGUGUGUAGGCGGACUUCUAAGUACCUUGUGGAAAUCCCACGGCUUAACCGUGGAACUGCUGGGUAUACUGGUUGUCUUGAGCCACUUAGGGGCGAGCGGAACAAAUGGUGGAGCGGUGAAAUGCGUAGAUAUCAUUUGGAACGCCAUGGUGAAAACAGCUCGCUGGGAGUGUGCUGACGCUGAGACACGAAAGCCAGGGUAGCGAACGGG